GACGGAGGUCCCGAGCGUUGUUCGGAAUUAUUGGGCUUAAAGCGCGUGUAGGCGGAGCCGUAAGUACCUUGUGAAAUCCCCGGACUCAAUCCGGGAACUGCUUGGUAUACUGGCGGUCUUGAGCCAGCUAGGGGCUACCGGAACAAAUGGUGGAGCGGUGAAAUGCGUAGAUAUCAUUUGGAACGCCAAUGGUGAAAACAGGUAGCUGGGGCUGUGCUGACACUGAGACACGAAAGCCAGGGGAGCAAACGGG
rnacentral:rRNA from 1 species